rnacentral:rRNA from 1 species
GACGAACGCUGGCGGCGUGCCUAAUACAUGCAAGUUGAGCGCUGAAGGUUGGUACUUGUACCAACUGGAUGAGCAGCGAACGGGUGAGUAGCGCGUGGGGAAUCUGCCUUUGAGCGGGGGACAACAUUUGGAAACGAAUGCUAAUACCGCAUAAAAACUUUAAACACAAGUUUUAAGUUUGAAAGAUGCAAUUGCAUCACUCAAAGAUGAUCCCGCGUUGUAUUAGCUAGUUGGUGAGGUAAAGGCUCACCAAGGCGAUGAUACAUAGCCGACCUGAGAGGGUGAUCGGCCACAUUGGGACUGAGACACGGCCCAAACUCCUACGGGAGGCAGCAGUAGGGAAUCUUCGGCAAUGGACGAAAGUCUGACCGAGCAACGCCGCGUGAGUGAAGAAGGUUUUCGGAUCGUAAAACUCUGUUGGUAGAGAAGAACGUUGGUGAGAGUGGAAAGCUCAUCAAGUGACGGUAACUACCCAGAAAGGGACGGCUAACUACGUG